rnacentral:rRNA from 1 species
AGAACGAACGCUGGCGGCAGGCUUAACACAUGCAAGUCGAGCGCCCAGCAAUGGGAGCGGCGGACGGGUGAGUAACACGUGGGAACAUGCCCUUUGGUACGGGACAACUCAGGGAAACUUGAGCUAAUACCGUAUGAGCCGGUAACGGGAAAGAUUUAUCGCCAAAGGAAUGGCCCGCGUCCGAUUAGCUAGUUGGUGAGGUAAUGGCUCACCAAGGCACCGAUCGGUAGCUGGUUUGAGAGAACGACCAGCCACACUGGGACUGAGACACGGCCCAGACUCCUACGGGAGGCAGCAGUGGGGAAUCUUGGACAAUGGGGGCAACCCUGGAUCCAGCCAUGCCGCGUGAGUGAUGAAGGCCUUCGGGUUGUAAAACUCUUUCGACGGGGACGAUAAUGACGGUACCCGUAGAAGAAGCUCCGGCUAACUUCGUGCCAGCAGCCGC